CGGCCAUAUCUACCAGAAAGCACCGUUUCCCGUCCGAUCAACUGUAGUUAAGCUGGUAAGGGAAACGGUGCUUUCUGGUAGAUAUGGCCGCAACCG
rnacentral:rRNA from 1 species